rnacentral:rRNA from 1 species
AGAGUUUGAUCAUGGCUCAGAGCGAACGCUGGCGGCAGGCUUAACACAUGCAAGUCGAGCGGGCGUAGCAAUACGUCAGCGGCAGACGGGUGAGUAACGCGUGGGAACAUACCUUUUGGUUCGGAACAACACAGGGAAACUUGUGCUAAUACCGGAUAAGCCCUUACGGGGAAAGAUUUAUCGCCGAAAGAUUGGCCCGCGUCUGAUUAGCUAGUUGGUGAGGUAACGGCUCACCAAGGCGACGAUCAGUAGCUGGUCUGAGAGGAUGAUCAGCCACAUUGGGACUGAGACACGGCCCAAACUCCUACGGGAGGCAGCAGUGGGGAAUAUUGGACAAUGGGCGCAAGCCUGAUCCAGCCAUGCCGCGUGAGUGAUGAAGGCCCUAGGGUUGUAAAGCUCUUUUGUGCGGGAAGAUAAUGACGGUACCGCAAGAAUAAGCCCCGGCUAACUUCGUGCCAGCAGCCGCGGUAAUACGAAGGGGGCUAGCGUUGCUCGGAAUCACUGGGCGUAAAGGGUGCGUAGGCGGGUCUUUAAGUCAGGGGUGAAAUCCUGGAGCUCAACUCCAGAACUGCCUUUGAUACUGAAGAUCUUGAGUUCGGGAGAGGUGAGUGGAACUGCGAGUGUAGAGGUGAAAUUCGUAGAUAUCCGCAAGAACACCAGUGGCGAAGGCGGCUCACUGGCCCGAUACUGACGCUGAGGCACGAAAGCGUGGGGAGCAAACAGGAUUAGAUACCCUAGUAGUCC